GCAGAGCAGCGCAGCGAAGCGGGAGGAGGAAAGGAAAGGGCUCCAUAAGGGCUCCCUUCCUUUCCUCCUCCCGCUUCGCUGAAGAGUGUUGC
rnacentral:miRNA from 1 species